UUCCUGUGAUGAUCAACUCAGUUCUGCUUCCGAACGAGAGCAAUCAACCUCUUGUGGACAACUAUUUUUUACCAAAAAAAACUUUUCUGACCC
rnacentral:snoRNA from 1 species